rnacentral:rRNA from 1 species
GAGUUUGAUCUUGGCUCAGGAUGAACGCUAGCUACAGGCUUAACACAUGCAAGUCGAGGGGCAGCAUGGUCUUAGCUUGCUAAGGCCGAUGGCGACCGGCGCACGGGUGAGUAACGCGUAUCCAAACCUGCCUUACACUCUUGGACAGCCUUCUGAAAGGGAGAUUAAUACAAGAUGUUAUCAUGAGUAAGCAUUUUCGCAUGAUUAAAGGUUUACCGGUGUAAGAUGGGGAUGCGUUCCAUUAGAUAGUAGGCGGGUAACGGCCCACCUAGUCUUCGAUGGAUAGGGGUUCUGAGAGGAAGGU